CAGCAGCCACGGUAAAACGUAGGGUGCAAGCGUUAAUCGGAAUUACUGGGCGUAAAGCGUGCGCAGGCGGUUCUAUAAGACAGAUGUGAAAUCCCCGGGCUCAACCUGGGAACUGCAUUUGUGACUGUAGAGCUGGAGUACGGCAGAGGGGGAUGGAAUUCCGCGUGUAGCAGUGAAAUGCGUAGAUAUGCGGAGGAACACCGACGGCGAAGGCAAUCCCCUGGGCCUGCACUGACGCUCAUGCACGAAAGCGUGGGGAGCAAACAGGAUUAGAUACCCCGGUAGUCCCUGUCUCUUAUAC
rnacentral:rRNA from 1 species